AACGCGAAGAACCUUACCAAAUCUUGACAUCCUUUGACCACUCUGGAGACAGAGCUUUCCCCUUCGGGGGACAAAGUGACAGGUGGUGCAUGGUUGUCGUCAGCUCGUGUCGUGAGAUGUUGGGUUAAGUCCCGCAACGAGCGCAACCCUUAAGCUUAGUUGCCAUCAUUAAGUUGGGCACUCUANGUUGACUGCCGGUGACAAACCGGAGGAAGGUGGGGAUGACGUCAAAUCAUCAUGCCCCUUAUGAUUUGGGCUACACACGUGCUACAAUGGACAAUACAAAGGGCAGCUAAACCGCGAGGUCAUGCAAAUCCCAUAAAGUUGUUCUCAGUUCGGAUUGUAGUCUGCAACUCGACUACAUGAAGCUGGAAUCGCUAGUAAUCGUAGAUCAGCAUGCUACGGUGAAUACGUUCCCGGGUCUUGUACACACCG
rnacentral:rRNA from 1 species